AACUAACAGAAAAUUUGACAAAAGUUGGGUUUAAAUAUACCACACAAUUUGCAAAUUUUAAUGUCGCAAUGCAAUAUAGGAUACAAGUUAACGGUGACCAGAUAUUUAAAGACCAUGUGAGCGAAGUAUUUGAAAACUACGACAAUGAAGAU